rnacentral:rRNA from 1 species
UACGAAGAGAGCUAGCGUUGUUCGGAUUUACUGGGCGUAAAGCGCACAUAAGCGGAUCGUUAAGUCAAAGGUGAAAUCCUGGAGCUCAACUCCAGAACUGCCUUCGAUACUGGCGAUCUUGAGUCCGGAAGAGGUGAGUGGAACUCCUAGUGUAGAGGUGGAAUUCGUAGAUAUUAGGAAGAACACCAGUGGCGAAGGCGGCUCACUGGUCCGGUACUGACGCUGAGGAGCGAAAGCGUGGGGAGCGAACAGG